CCCAGCUCCCUCUGUCUGCACAACCCAAGCUAUUGGCCCACCACAGGAGCCUGCCUCCAUAGCAAUGAAAAAUAAUUGGAGUAUUUAAGAAUCAGAGUUUUACUGAUGCUCCCAUUAUGAAGAAAAAAUCAUCACUUACUAUAAGGAAGAGUUCCUGCCUUGAUUGAAGUUGGCAGUUCCUGUGACCCCAGGAGAGAAGGCUGUGGGCUGAUCAUUAGAGCAUUUUAGUGUGUGGGUUUGCCUGGAAGCAAUAGCCAGCAAAGGCUGGAAGAUGGGAAUAACGAUAAAGCAUGCUCAGCUUGUAGAGCUCUGAGCUGAACAGCAUUACUCUCGGCCAGAUUUCAUUUCUUGUUAAUUAUAUCCGAUUCCACUUGAGUAUGGAUUUCAUUGAAUUUAAAAUGUUGGGAGUGGGGGUCACUGCUCCAUGCCAUUCAUCAGAAACAUCAAUAAAAAGAGCACCCCAGAAACCCUUGACCA